ensembl:lncRNA
AGAAUAAGGUCACCGUAUAAAGAUCUGCUUGGAACAUGAAACUUUAAGUGAAGCCUACAAAUUUCAAAAACUCUUCAUAAUGGAAGUUUAUCAGGACCUUGGCCAGUGCUCAUUUAAAAACUGCAGUCCCGCUUAAAUCCCUCCCUGCUCCUGUCAUAAGCAAGAGGGAAACUGCUUAACCUGAAAGAAAGCUGUGGCUCACAGAGAGAUGGCUGCUGUAUUGAGCUCAGUACAGAAAGUAAGUCACCAUGAGGGAGAAAACUCAUCUUGGGAUGUACAAUUCAUGGAUACAUCUGAGAAGAAAAGAAUGCCAGUGCAGCAUGAAUGUCCUCUUAUGAUGUAAGAAACUGGAAGUCACCUCCUAGGACAAAAGCAAGGAGCACUCGCACUUGACUCAACCUACUCCCCAGACUGAGACAGGGAAUUUGGCUGAAGCAGAAUAUAAAAGGAUCAUCCAGAAAUCUCCCUGAGAUAUUCAACUUCUCCUCCUACCACCGCUGAAACCUCAUGUGGCAUGGAAGAAAACACUGUGUAACCUUUUCUGUUCAUAUUCUUCAUUUUUUUUUUUAUUACAGCAUGGAUUCAUUCUUAAUUUUUGAAAGAGUGCUUAUAUCCAACAUUUUCACUUUUUUUUUUUCCUGUCCAACAGUCCUUAUGCCAUAUAAUAUUUUUAAAUUAUUAACUCAGUAUUUCUACUUAGCUCCUUGUGUUUUCAUACCCUUCCAUUUUAUUGGGUUUUCUCUUUUUCAUGGUCAUAUCUUUCAACUUCUUUGCACCUUUUCCAUGAUCCAGAAGACCUAUUAUCAUUCUGUUGCAAAAUAUGUCUCUUCUAUGAAAUUUUAUUUCUUCCUCAUUUCUUUCUUUACUUCAUUUAGUUGUUUUAUUUUCCUUUUACAUAUCCCUCCUCUGUAACCUCCUUCUCUGGGUUCUUCUUCUAAUAUACAUCUGCCUUUUCCAGAUCUGCCUUCUACAUUUGGCACAUAGCACUGCACGUAUACCCUACUAUAAUUCAUAGAAUAGAAUCACAGAACUCAUCUGUCUCUGAUAACCUGAAGCUGCAUACUAAAGUGGCAUCUAGAAAAAGACUAGUAAAAAAAUGGGUGAUGGCAUUUUUGGGGCUAAAUUUCAGAUGUAAUUGAAGUAGCUUUGCAUUGUGGAAGAUUUUAUUUUUCUACGUUGAUGGAUGAAGAAAUAGGUCUAAAUAUCAAAAUAAAAAGAGGCAGGGAGGAAGGGCAAUGGAAAGGUGAAGUAAUGGAGGGAAUAAACAUGGUCUUUCAUUUCUAUUUUGUCAGCAUAUACUAAAAUUAAAAUACUAAAUGUGUGUAUUCAGUUAAUGCCAAGAUCAAAAAAGUCUCCCUCCAUAGGUGAAUUCUUCUAGCACAGGUGUGCUGGAAGAGGUUUUAUGCAAAGUUAGGUGGUUGUUCCUUAAUACAGUUGUUAUGUCGUGCCUGUCAGCUCUAGCACACUCACCAAUUUGCUCCUUGUGUUGUUUACAAAACACAGUGACAGUACGCAUUUUGUCCUUGCCAGCAGAUGCAGCUGUUAAGGAUUUUCUUUUUUCUUUUUUUUCUUGAUGGAUGUAAACACAAUAGUUGUGAUAUGGCCUUGAUGUGCAAAAACAAACAAAAAAAAACCCAAAACAAACAAACAAACAAAAAAACUAUGUAAAAGUAAGAAGAAAACCAAUUCCAAACCUUUAUUUAAGUAUGAAGACAUUGCUAGUAAUUAAUCUCUUUCUGUUUUUACUUGUUUAGUUUGUAGUUUUUUACAACUGCUCAGCAUCUAAAGGUCUGAGAUAUAUGUAAUGAAUGACCUCUUAUUUGAGCCUGCUUCCCUCCUCUCGAGGGGAAGAUUUUUGAUGGCUUUUAAUUCCAUCGAAUCCUGUUUCAUAACUGAACUCAGAGUCAUAUCUUUGCCUUACAGUAAUCGUACAAAAUAUCUAGAAUGUAGGAACCUUGCGAUAUACCAAAUAAUUCUUUCCUGGACUGUGCAUUUGCAGCACAUUUCAAGCAAUAAAACUCUUCUAGAUAUCAAAGGGGGAAAUGUAGUCUGCAUUUUAUAAGGAACUUGUUUUCUGUCAUGUUUAUAACAUAAAAAUUAAAUGGAAGUACAUAUUCAUAAUAAAGUAUUGCAGAG